UGACGAAUAGCUAUGCUGAGAGGUAGAAUAGCCACAAGGGGACUGAGACACGGCCCCUACUCCUACGGGAGGCAGCAGUAGGGAAUUUUUCACAAUGGGCGAAAGCCUGAUGGAGCAAUACCGCGUGAAUGAUGAAGGUCUUCGGAUUGUAAAAUUCUUUUAUUAGGGACGAACGGCACUAAGAGGAAAUGCUUAGUGAUUGACUGUACCUAUUGAAUAAGUAACGGCAAACUAUGUGCCAGCAGCCGCGGUAAUACAUAGGUUACAAGCGUUAUCCGGAUUUACUGGGCGUAAAGCGAGCGCAGGCUGAUUAACAAGUCUAGUGUGAAAUGCAGUUGCUUAACAACUGUUUGCAUUGGAAACUGUUAGUCUGGAGUGUGAUAGGGAGUUCUGGAACUCCAUAUGGAGCGGUGGAAUGCGUAGAUAUAUGGAAGAACACCUGUGGCGAAAGCGAGAACUUAGGUCACAACUGACGCUUAGGCUCGAAAGUGUGGGGAGCAAAUAGGAUUAGAUACCCUAGUAGUCCACACCGUAAACGAUGGUUAUUAGUUGUUGGUACGAAGUACUAGUAACGAAGCUAACGCAUUAAAUAACCCGCCUGGGUAGUACAUUCGCAAGAAUGAAACUCAAACGGAAUUGACGGGGACCCGCACAAGUGGUGGAGCAUGUUGUUUAAUUCGACAGUACACGAAGAACCUUACCAGGGUUUGACAUCCUCGGCAAAGCUAUAGAAAUAUAGUGGAGGUUAACCGAGAGACAGGUGGUGCAUGGUUGUCGUCAGCUCGUGUCGUGAGAUGUUGGGUUAAGUCCCGCAACGAGCGCAACCCCUAUUGUUAGUUACUUUAUCUAACGAGACUGCUAACGCAAGUUAGAGGAAGGUGGGGAUGACGUCAAAUCAUCAUGCCCUUUAUAUCCUGGGCCACAAACGUGCUACAAUGGUUGGUACAAACUGUUGCCAAACUGUAAAGUGGAGCUAAUCAGAAAAAACCAAUCUCAGUUCGGAUUGAGGGCUGAAAUUCGUCCUCAUGAAGUUGGAAUCACUAGUAAUCGCGAAUCAGACAUGUCGCGGUGAAUGCGUUCUCGGGUC
rnacentral:rRNA from 1 species